UUUCGAAGGGUUUGAUCCUGGCUCAGAAUGAACGUUGGCGGCGUGGAUUAGGCAUGCAAGUCGGACGCCCCUCGGGGGCGUGGCGAAAGGGUGAGUAAGGCGACGGCAACCAACCCCGCGGAGGGGGACAGCCACGGGAAACUGUGGGUAAUCCCCCAUGACGCCGCGAUGAUGGCCUCAUCAUCCGGCCAAAGGUGCGAGUCCGCCGCGGGACGGGCCGUCGUGGUAUCAGGUCGUUGGUGGGGUAAUGGCCCACCAAGCCGAUGACGCCUAGCGGGCGUGCGAGCGUGGCCCGCCACACUGGGACUGAGACACUGCCCAGACACCUACGGGUGGCUGCAGUCGAGAAUCUUCGGCAAUGGUCGACAGACUGACCGAGCGACGCCGCGUGGAGGACGAAGGCCUUCGGGUUGUAAACUCCUGUCGAGGGGGAACAAGGUGCCGCGAAGAGCGGCGCUUGAGUGAUCCCUGGAGGAAGCACGGGCUAAGUUCGUGCCAGCAGCCGCGGUAAGACGAACCGUGCGAACGUUAUUCGGAAUCACUGGGCUUAAAGCGCGUGUAGGCGGAUGGCCGCGUCGGUCGCUGAAAGCCCCCGGCUCAACCGGGGGUGUGGCGCCGAAACGGGUCGUCUGGAGGGGCGUAGGGGGAGCUGGAACUCACGGUGGAGCGGUGAUAUGCGUUGAGAUCGUGAGGAACGCCCGCGGCGAAAGCGAGCUCCUGGACGCCUGCUGACGCUGAGACGCGAAAGCCAGGGGAGCGAACGGGAUUAGAUACCCCGGUAGUCCUGGCCGUAAACGAUGGGCACUGGGUAGGGGGCUCGCCGAUGGGCCCCCUGCCGCAGCGAAAGCGUGAAGUGCCCCGCCUGGGAAGUAUGGCCGCAAGGCUGAAACUCAAAGGAAUUGACGGGGGCUCACACAAGCGGUGGAGCAUGUGGCUUAAUUCGAGGCUACGCGAAGAACCUUAUCCCGGGCUUGACAUGCGCGGAUUAGCGUCGUGAAAGCGGCGUGACGCCUUCGGGUGGAACGUGCACAGGUGCUGCAUGGCUGUCGUCAGCUCGUGCCGUGAGGUGUUGGGUUAAGUCCCGUAACGAGCGAAACCCCUGCGACCAGUUGCCAUCAUUAAGUUGGGGACUCUGGUCGGACCGCCGGCGUCAAGCCGGAGGAAGGCGGGGACGACGUCAAGUCAUCAUGGCCCUUAUGCCCGGGGCUGCACACGUGCUACAAUGGGCCGGACAGAGCGUCGCCACCGCGCAAGCGGGAGCCAAUCGCAGAAACCGGCCCUCAGUUCGGAUUGUGGGCUGCAACCCGCCCACAUGAAGCUGGAAUCGCUAGUAAUCGCGGAUCAGCAGUGCCGCGGUGAAUGGGUUCCUGAGCCUUGUACACACCGCCCGUCAAGCCACCAAAGCGGGGGGCACCCGAAGUCGCUGAGCCCGCGAGGGCAGGCGCCGAAGGUGAAACUCGUGAUGGGGACUAAGUCGUAACAAGGUAACCGUAGGGGAACCUGCGGUUGGAUCACCUCCUUU
rnacentral:rRNA from 2 species